UAAACUAGGUCACAUUUGUUUCAAAUGCUUUUCCUUUACAUUUUUUCUUUAACCUCUCUCUCUUGCUCUUUUUUUACAA
rnacentral:ribozyme from 16 species